GAUGAACGCUGGCGGCGUGCCUAACACAUGCAAGUCGAGCGAUCUUCUUCGGAAGAGAGCGGCGGACGGGUGAGUAACGCGUGGGUAACCUGCCCUGUACACACGGAUAACAUACCGAAAGGUAUGCUAAUACGAGAUAAUAUGCUUUUGUCGCAUGGUAGAAGUAUCAAAGCUUUUGCGGUACAGGAUGGACCCGCGUCUGAUUAGCUAGUUGGUAAGGUAACGGCUUACCAAGGCGACGAUCAGUAGCCGACCUGAGAGGGUGAUCGGCCACAUUGGAACUGAGACACGGUCCAAACUCCUACGGGAGGCAGCAGUGGGGAAUAUUGCACAAUGGGCGAAAGCCUGAUGCAGCAACGCCGCGUGAGCGAUGAAGGCCUUCGGGUCGUAAAGCCCUGUCCUCAAGGAAGAUAAUGACGGUACUUGAGGAGGAAGCCCCGGCUAACUACGUGCCAGCCGCCGCAGUAA
rnacentral:rRNA from 1 species